GUUUUUAUAGUUAAAUUACAACAGUGGUUUUUCGUAUCGCAGGCCUCAGUUAAAAUCUGGGUAAAAACU
rnacentral:tRNA from 1 species